UGGGAAAUGUUUUCUGAUGUCAAUGUUUUGAACAGAGUACCCCGUGGUGGGGUUAUGGUAUGGGCAGGCAGGCAUAACACUACGGACAUGAACAUAGAGAUACCUUGACGAGAUCCUGAGGUCCAUUGUCGUGCCAUUCAUCUGCCGUCAUCACCUCAUGUUUCAGCAUAAUAAUGCACAUCCCCAUGUCACAAGGAUCUGUACACAAUUCCUGGAAGCUGAAAAUGUCCCAGUUCUUCCAUGGCCUGCAUACUCACCAAACAUGUCACCCAUGGAGCAUGUUUGGGAUGCUCUGGAUCAACCUGUACGACGGCAUGUUCCAGUUCCCGCCAAUAUCCAGCAACUUCACACAGCCAUUGAAGAGGAGUGGGACAACAUUCCACGCACCACAAUCAACAGUCUGAUCAACUCUAUGCGAAGGAGAUGUGUCGGGCUGCAUGAGGCAAAUGGUGGUCAUACCAGAUACUGACUGGUUUUCUGAUCCAGGCCUAUCUUUUUUUAAGGUCUCUGACGAACAGAUGCAUAUCUGUAUUCCCAGUCAUCUAAAUCCAUAGAUUAGGGACACAUUUAUUCAUUUCAAUUGACUGAUUCCGUUAUAUGAAUUGUAACUCAGUAAAAUCUUUGAAAUUGUUAGAUGUUGCAUUUCUAUUUUUGUUCAGUGUAGCUUAAUGUUGGCCCCCAUCCAAGGAAGAAAGAACAUAUAGGCAUUUAUUCCGUAAAAGUGCAAGCCUUUCAAUUAAACCCCUUGCUCCUGGAAUCUGACUCUCCCCUUAAUUAGCCACUGCUUUCCCUGGAUCUUAAUACAGUCAAUAGUGUAGAUAUUCCCACUACCGGAGUCCCAUUGUAGGGGAUGCUGCUGCAGUGUAGUCUGAAGACUGUCAGGAUGAAAAAUAAUACCCUAGAGUCAUCCAUUCUCCCCCCUCCCCAUUGUAUUUCCUCGCUCCAGAGCAGGUGGUGUGAUAGAGAGUUUAUACCCGGGCCGACCACUAUCGGCUCUAAUAGGGGUGGGUUGUGAGGGGAUGCAAUAACUUCGGUUUUGGUGCAAUCGCUGCUGCAGCCAUGAAAACCAUGCGAGGGAGAGAGGAGCAGCCUUUUUCUCUGCAGCUAGAUGCACAUUUUCUAAACGUGUGGCUUUAUUACUUUCAGAUGAAUCCCACAGUGCAGAGGACACCAUUUCUUUCAGGGACACACAUCUCUUGUUUAGCCUACUAUCAUCACAGUGAAGACUGUCAGUGCCAAAGAACAAUGUUGCAGAAUAAUAUAUUCAUUACAUUAUUAAUUUGCUUAGUGAACCACCACCACUAUCUAGGAAGACGUGCCUGGAGUCAAAGGGCUUUUCUCUGUAGGCAUUUGUACCUGCGCUCAUUCAUACACAGGCUGUUUCCAUUCCAGAAUAUCAAGGCUCAUUUUGAGUUGUGAAGCCUCAACCCGAGCCAGGUCUCCUAGAGAUAAACAUAUGGCUUCUGCAUGGUUAUGUAACCAGGGUAGAGUCUCUUCCCAUAGCAGACUACAGAGAGGUUAGAGUCUCUUCCUAUAACAGACUACAGAGAGGGUAGAGUCUCUUCCCACAGCAGACUACAGAGAGGUUAGAGUCUCUUCCCACAGCAGACUACAGAGAGGUUAGAGUCUCUUCCUAUAACAGACUACAGAGAGGGUAGAGUCUCUUCCCAUAACAGACAACAGAGAGGGUAGCGUCUCUUCCCACAGCAGACUACAGAGAGGGUAGAGUCUCUUCCUAUAACAGACUACAGAGAGGUUAGAGUCUCUUCCCAUAACAGACUACAGAGAGGUUAGAGUCUCUUCCUAUAACAGACUACAGAGAGGGUAGAGUCUCUUCCCACAGCAGACUACAGAGAGGUUAGAGUCUCUUCCCAUAACAGACUACAGAGAGGGUAGAGUCUCUUCCCAUAGCAGACUACAGAGAGGUUAGAGUCUCUUCCUAUAAC
ensembl:lncRNA